rnacentral:rRNA from 1 species
UGUGGUGUGGAUUGCACAAUGGGCGGAACCCUGAUGCAGCAACGCCGCGUGAGUGAUGAAGGCCUUCGGAUUGUAAAGCUCUGUCUUCAGGGACGAUAGUGACGAGUUCCUGGAAGGAAGGAAGGCCACGGCUUAACUACGUGCCAGACGACCCCGGUAAUACCUACGGUACGGCAAGCGUUGUCCUGGAUUUACUGGUGGCCUAACGGUAGCGUAGGCGGAUACUUAAGUUGGAUGUGAAAUACCUGGGGCUUAACCUUGGUGAUGCAUUCCAAACUGGGUGUGUCUAGAGUGCUAGGAGAGGAAAGUGGAAUUCCUAGUGUAGCGGUGAAAUGCGUACAGAUUAGGAGGAACACCAGUGGCGAAGGCGACUUUCUGGACAAUAUCUGACGCUGAGGCUCGAAAGCCUGGGGAGCAAACAGGAUUAGAUACCCUGGUAGUCCACGCCGUAAACGAUGGGUACUAGGUGUAGGGGGUAUCGACUCCUUCUGUGCCGCAGUUAACACAAUAAGU